rnacentral:lncRNA from 1 species
UCUGCUCCACCCCCUCGCCAUUCAUGUGCUCGAGGUGGUAGACCGCUCACCCCUCUGCACCGACCUCCCGCCACAGUACAUCGACGAAGACGAAGACACGACGCGCCAUCACAUCUACCCUUACUGGGGUGGAAGGAUUGACGGCUCCGGUCGUGGUGCUCCCCGCGGCGGCGGCCAUGCUUUUGCCAGCCCAGCCACGGACAGCAUUGGAGGAGGUUGGGGGAGGAACCGCUCAAGCGGCGACUGGGGGAGAAAUCGUGCUCGCGGCCUCCUGCUGCCUGCCGGCGGCCUCUCGGUCCAGGUGCUCAUGGCGUCGGCACAGACCCCGGCGUCAGUAGCUGCCCCCGCUCGCUCGGGUACGAAAACUCCAUCCUCCUCCCCUGCAAGUUUGCUCCGUCUAAGCUCCUUCGGCAGAACGACCUCUCCCCGGCCAUCCUCGGUGGCCUCCACGGCCGCCGGCUCGGAUGCACGCGCCCUGACGCCGCCAACCUCAUCGCCGCGUCUCCCCAAGCUCCUCCUUCACAGUCCCCUGUCUUGUGGCACACCUACGUCCGUCGCCUCCACUGCCGUCGGGGUCGAUGCGCAGGUU